CUGGGAAGUAGAUGACAUGGUUUUGGGAUAAGUGGGAUUACAAACGGGAUGUGAAACGGGGGAUAUUAGUUGCUUGAUCCGAACGGGAGAAGAGAAGAUCACAACGGGAUGAAGCUUGGAGUUGGUUGGGAGAUAGGAUAAGGAUGGAACGAUGUGGAAGAAACUCGGACGUGGAUCUAUGAUGAAGAAACGAUGGGAAGACGACACGGACGGAAGGGGAAGUUUAGAUACUAAUCUAGACUUGGUUCUAGAUGGCUUGGGAAUGGAUGAAUCUUGAUUCAGUGGGAA
rnacentral:lncRNA from 1 species